AGGAUUCCCCUAGUAACUGCGAGUGAAGCGGGAAAAGCUCAAAUUUAAAAUCUGGCGGUCUCUGGCCGUCCGAGUUGUAAUCUAGAGAAGUGUUACCCGCGCUGGACCGUGUACAAGUCCCCUGGAAUGGGGCGUCAUAGAGGGUGAGAAUCCCGUCUCUGACACGGACUACCAGGGCUUUGUGGUAUGCUCUCAAAGAGUCGAGUUGUUUGGGAAUGCAGCUCAAAAUGGGUGGUAAAUUCCAUCUAAAGCUAAAUAUUGGCGAGAGACCGAUAGCGAACAAGUACCGUGAGGGAAAGAUGAAAAGAACUUUGGAAAGAGAGUUAAACAGUACGUGAAAUUGCUGAAAGGGAAACGCUUGAAGUCAGUCGCGUUGGCCGGGAAUCAGCCUCGCUUUUGUGUGGUGUACUUUCUGGUUGACGGGUCAGCAUCAAUUUUGACUGCUGGAAAAAGGCUUGGGGAAUGUGGCAGCUCCGGCUGUGUUAUAGCCCCUUGUCACAUACAGCGGUUGGGAUUGAGGAACUCAGCACGCCGCAAGGCCGGGUUUCGACCACGUUCGUGCUUAGGAUGCUGGCAUAAUGGCUUUAAGCGACCCGUCUUGAAACACGGACCAAGGAGUCUAACAUGCCUGCGAGUGUUUGGGUGGAAAACCCGAGCGCGUAAUGAAAGUGAAAGUUGAGAUCCCUGUCGUGGGGAGCAUCGACGCCCGGACCAGAACUUUUGGGACGGAUCCGCGGUAGAGCAUGUAUGUUGGGACCCGAAAGAUGGUGAACUAUGCCUGAAUAGGGUGAAGCCAGAGGAAACUCUGGUGGAGGCUCGUAGCGAUUCUGACGUGCAAAUCGAUCGUCAAAUUUGGGUAUAGGGGCGAAAG
rnacentral:rRNA from 1 species